rnacentral:rRNA from 1 species
UACGUAGGGGGCUAGCGUUAUCCGGAAUUACUGGGCGUAAAGGGUGCGUAGGCGGUCUUUCAAGUCAGGAGUGAAAGGCUACGGCUCAACCGUAGUAAGCUCUUGAAACUGUAAGACUUGAGUGCAGGAGAGGAGAGCGGAAUUCCUAGUGUAGCGGUGAAAUGCGUAGAUAUUAGGAAGAACACCGGUGGCGAAGGCGGCUUACUGGCCAGUUACUGACGCCCAUGCGCGAAAGCUGGGGUAGCGAACCGGAUUAGAUACCCCCGUAGUCCCUGAGCGGGCU